AUACGGAGGAUCCGAGCGUUAUCCGGAUUUAUUGGGUUUAAAGGGUGCGCAGGCGGGAGAUUAAGUCGGCGGUGAAAUUUUGCAGCUCAACUUGAAAAGUGCCUUCGAAACUGGUUUCCUUGAGUGUAGAUGAAGGAGGCGGAAUUUGUGGGGUAGCGGUGAAAUGCAUAGAUAUCACGAGGAACUCCGAUUGCGCAGGCAGCUUACUAAACUACUACUGACGCUCAGGCACGAAGGCGUGGGGAUCAAACAGGAUUAGAUACCCUGGUAGUCCACGCAGUAAACGAUGAUUACUAGCUGUUUGCGAUACAAUGUAAGCGGCUGAGCGAAAGCGUUAAGUAAACCACCUGGGGAGUACGUUCGCAAGAAUGAAACUCAAAGGAAUUGACGGGG
rnacentral:rRNA from 1 species